GGCCCUUUGGCGCAAUGGUAGCGCGUGGCCCUCCUAAGGCCAAGGUUGUGGGUUCGAGUCCCAUGAGGGUCG